AGCAUGGAUAUAAAAUGCAUCAUGCCACUCAACUUACCAGCAGUGAAACUGAUUACCAAUUAUAAUCAUUCUCUGCAUGGUGACAGCAUACCAAGAUGGAGAUGUUGAAUAUUUCAGUUUGCAAUAUUAUCUGGGUUGUUUAAAGUACUGACUACGUGUCCUGAAACCAAUAGAGGUAAUUGGUAUGCAUGUAAGAGCUGGCAGUCUGAGCACAUCACUUAUUUAUAGAGUCUUUUGAUGUAACUCUGUGGAAAAAAAUGUUAAUAAAACAUGGUUCAAAGGAAAAUUUACACUCACCAUUAUAAUAUGACAUAAAGUACAAAUUAUUGUACCUAAAUAACUGUUUUCUAGUGAAUAGUAUUCUUUUUUCCUUUUAUUGAACUAGUCCACUGAAACCUAACAGAAAGGGGGAGGGGAACACAAAGAACAAGAAGGCUAUUAGCUCUUUUCAUUUUCUGAUCCAGCUAUCUGGAAAUUAAGAUACAUACACAAGACAGGGAGUGGAAAAUCACUGGGUAUGUCAUUGCUUUCAUAACCUUCUUAUUUGCUCCACAAAUUGGUUUAUGGUCCUCUUAGGGCAUGUUCAUCAACAGACUCCAUGUCAACAAUUGAUAUGAAGCUUCAAAUGGACCAGAAAACAGGAUACAGGAGGAAACAAGGUGACCUUAGCUGAAAGGCAGCAAGACACUUAUAUUAGCCAUCAUAUCAGAAACCUUAUGCAGAAUCAAACUGUGUAUCAGAGGCAAGAAAAACAUAGAGCUUCUGGUUAACAAAUAAGGAGGAAAGAAAUACAACAUUAACAAGAACUGGUAAAAAGCAACUUCAUUAGUUGCAAAAUUCUUCGAGAGAGGGAAAACUUUAAAACUGAAGACAAAUGAAAAGAACAAAGUUAGAGAGACUAGACUAUUUCAGCAUGAAGAGGAAUAUUGGCAGUGAAACAUGGGUAAGGUCAAGUUCCCUGCAGGUUGACUGAUAUUGAGAUUGUAAAUCCAGAAGAAAAUACCAUUGAUACAAGGACGAGAUGGACCACUGGAGCUUUCCUUUAACCACUGUCAAGCUCAACACUGACUAGAGACACUUCCAAAGCUCUAUACACACUUGGAAAUGUGACCUGUCCUCAACUGGCAGAGUGACAUUACCUGCACAAUGCUUUUGUAGGAUCUCUGGUACAAGAGCUGGGAGGAACUUAGGGGCCAGAAUAUAAUGGCCUCCAACUACCCUCGAGUACUGUGUGCAGUUCUGGGCACCACAGUAUAAAAAGGACAUGAAACUGUUGGAGAGUGUCCAGAGGAGGGCUACGAAGAUGGUGAAAGGCCUGGAGGGGAAGACGUA